UGUUCUGUGGCUUAGUUGGUUAAAAGCACCGGUCUAGCGAAUACGGGGUCGUGGGUUCGAAUCCCACCAGAACGC
rfam:Aedes albopictus isolate Foshan contig93606, whole genome shotgun sequence.